GAGGGAUUAGUCUAGUGGUAAGGCACUUGCUCAGGGAGUAAGGAUUCCCAGGUUCGAUUCCUGGAUCUCUCA